rnacentral:rRNA from 1 species
CGGACGGGUGAGUAAUGUCUGGGAAACUGCCCGAUGGAGGGGGGUAACUACUGGAAACGGUAGCUAAUACCGCAUAACGUCGCAAGACCGAAGAGGGGGACCUUCGGGCCUCUUGCCAUCGGAUGUGCCCAGAUGGGAUUAGCUAGUAGGUGGGGUAACGGCUCACCUAGGCGACGAUCCCUAGCUGGUCUGAGAGGAUGACCAGCCACACUGGAACUGAGACACGGUCCAG